rnacentral:rRNA from 1 species
UACUAGCUUGCUAGUAUGUCAGCUAAGUGGCGGACGGGUGAGUAAUGUAUAGUUAAUCUGCCCCUUAGAGAGGGAUAGCCACUGGAAACGGUGAUUAAUACCUCAUACUCCUUCUGCCUUAAUGGUAGUUGGGAAAUGUUUUUUCGCUAAGGGAUGAGACUAUAUGAUAUCAGAUAGUUGGUGGGGUAAUGGCCUACCAAGUCAAUGACAUCUAGCUGGUCUGAGAGGAUGAUCAGCCACACUGGAACUGAGACACGGUCCAGACUCCUACGGGAGGCAGCAGUGGGGAAUAUUGCACAAUGGGGGAAACCCUGAUGCANCAACGCCGCGUGGAGGAUGACACAUUUCGGUGCGUAAACUCCUUUUAUAUGGGAAGAUAAUGACGGUACCAUAUGAAUAAGCACCGGCUAACUCCGU